UACGUGAGUGGCAAGCGUUAUCCGGAAUUAUUGGGCGUAAAGAGCUUGUAGGCGGUCUGUCGCGUCUGCUGUGAAAUCCCGAGGCUCAACCUCGGGUCUGCAGUGGGUACGGGCAGACUGGAGUGCGGUAGGGGAGAAUGGAAUUCCUGGUGUAGCGGUGAAAUGCGCAGAUAUCAGGAGGAACACCUAUUGCGAAGGCAGCUCGCUGGGACGUAACUGACGCUGAGACGCGAAAGCGUGGGGAGCAAACAGG
rnacentral:rRNA from 1 species